rnacentral:rRNA from 1 species
UACGUAGGGCGCAAGCGUUGUCCGGAUUUAUUGGGCGUAAAGAGCUCGUAGGCGGUUUGUCGCGUCUGCUGUGAAAACCCGAGGCUCAACCUCGGGCCUGCAGUGGGUACGGGCAGACUAGAGUGCGGUAGGGGAGACUGGAAUUCCUGGUGUAGCGGUGGAAUGCGCAGAUAUCAGGAGGAACACCGAUGGCGAAGGCAGGUCUCUGGGCCGCAACUGACGCUGAGGAGCGAAAGCAUGGGGAGCGAACAGG